AUUGAACGCUGGCGGCAGGCCUAACACAUGCAAGUCGAGCGGAUGAAGGGAGCUUGCUCCUGGAUUCAGCGGCGGACGGGUGAGUAAUGCCUAGGAAUCUGCCUGGUAGUGGGGGAUAACGUCCGGAAACGGGCGCUAAUACCGCAUACGUCCUGAGGGAGAAAGUGGGGGAUCUUCGGACCUCACGCUAUCAGAUGAGCCUAGGUCGGAUUAGCUAGUUGGUGGGGUAAAGGCCUACCAAGGCGACGAUCCGUAACUGGUCUGAGAGGAUGAUCAGUCACACGGGAACUGAGAAACGGUCCAGACUCCUAAGGGAGGCAGCAGUGGGGAAUAUUGGACAAUGGGCGAAAGCCUGAUCCAGCCAUGCCGCGUGUGUGAAGAAGGUCUUCGGAUUGUAAAGCACUUUAAGUUGGGAGGAAGGGCAGUAAGUUAAUACCUUGCUGUUUUGACGUUACCAACAGAAUAAGCACCGGCUAACUUCGUG
rnacentral:rRNA from 1 species